rnacentral:lncRNA from 1 species
CAGAUAUUUGUACCUGGAAGAUGAAUAGACAAGGAAAAAUGAGACAACAACUAGCUUUGGCAGUAAUAGGAAACAACAUCAAAGCAACUAGUAGAACAGUAAACUCAGAUCAAGUCAGCUCAGAUUCAAGUUGAAAUCAACCCUCAAAUACCAAACUCAACUCAAAAACUAAAAAAAACUCCAAUUCUGAACCCACAGGGAUAUCAUCUAAGGCUCAGAACAAAAAUUUAAUCAAAAGUGAACCAGAAAACUCGAAUACCAGCAGAUUUAGCUCAUUUUCUAUCCCUUUUAUAGCUCAAAAUUGUCUCAGAAUCAAUGUUAUAUGAAUUCCCCAAAAGUUUCCAAUGAAACAGUGAUUUUCCUUUAAUUUUAGUCGUCUAUAUAUCCUGGAUUUUUCAGCUCUCAAACUUCUGUUUUGAAGUUUAAAAUUCAAAAUUUUUGAUCUCCCAGAACUUGUCUGUAUUCAU